UACGUAGGGGGCGAGCGUUGUCCGGAGUUACUGGGCGUAAAGCGUGCGCAGGCGGCUUUGCAAGACAGAUGUGAAAUCCCCGGGCUUAACCUGGGAACUGCAUUUGUGACUGCAUGGCUGGAGUGCGGCAGAGGGGGAUGGAAUUCCGCGUGUAGCAGUGAAAUGCGUAGAUAUGCGGAGGAACACCGAUGGCGAAGGCAAUCCCCUGGGCCUGCACUGACGCUCAUGCACGAAAGCGUGGGGAGCAAACAGG
rnacentral:rRNA from 1 species